rnacentral:rRNA from 1 species
UACGAAGGGGGCUAGCGUUGCUCGGAAUUACUGGGCGUAAAGGGCGCGUAGGCGGUGCGAUAAGUCAGGCGUGAAAGCCCCGGGCUCAACCCGGGAAUAGCGCUUGAUACUGUUGCGCUUGAAUCCAGGAGAGGAUGGCGGAAUUCCCAGUGUAGAGGUGAAAUUCGUAGAUAUUGGGAAGAACACCAGUGGCGAAGGCGGCCAUCUGGCCUGGAAUUGACGCUGAGGCGCGAAAGCGUGGGGAGCAAACAGG